AGGAUAAUUCAAAGAUGAAAAAGACAACUUAGUUCCUCUCUUCCAGAAGCUCACAAUCUAGCAAUGGAGGAAAACACAGAGUCCUAAUUGGGUGCUUUUUUCACUAUACCAUACCACCUCUCUUGGACCUUUUAAGGAAACCUCUCUGGGUCAACUGAUUCCCUGCCACACACCAUGUGGGGAGAGACUACUGUGAUCAUCUUCCUCACUAGGACCACAUGGAGUAUGCAAUGGAUGUUUUUUUCAAGAAAGGGUUACUAGCAGACAGGAGCAAUGUGCUAACCACCAGCUGUUAAGGGAAUAGAGGACCUUCAAGAUGGUGGAGGAGUAAGACGUGGAGAUCACCUUCCUCCCCCAAAUACAUCAAAAAUACAUCUACAUGUGGAGCAGCUCCUACAGAACACCUACUGAACGCUGGCAGAAGACCUCAGACUUCCCAAAAGGCGAGAAACUCCCCACGUACCUGGGUAGGGCAAAAGAAAAAAGAGACAACAGAGACAAAAGAAUAGGGAUGGGACCUGCACCUCUGGGAGGGAGCUGUGAAGGAGGAAAUGUUUCCACACACUAGGAAAACCCUUCAAGGGCGGAGACAGCAGGUCAGGGGCGGGAAGCUACGGAGCCACGGAGGAGAACGCAGCAACAGGGGUG